AUCUUGAAGGGGCAAACCGCCUGAAAAGACGGGACGCAAAGCCAGGGGGCUAAGGCGAAAGCUAUGCCAGCCCGGCUGCCACG
rfam:Oscillibacter valericigenes Sjm18-20 DNA, complete genome.